rnacentral:lncRNA from 1 species
UCUCUUGUGGUCUAUUUAAUGGGUGAGAACGGUCUUCAAUUCUCGAGAAUUUUGAUUACUAGUUAGCGGAAUGCGCAUGGGAAUUGGGUCGAGCAAAGCUAGUUAGGAAUUGUUAAAUUUGGGUUAUUUUGUUCGAGACGUUUUGUAAUUUAAUCUUUAUUCCUGGUUUCGAGGUGAUACAUAUAUAAAAAACUCAAAAUCAGUGCGACCCAAGUUGGACUAUAAUGGUAUUGACCUUUAUAUAUGGAUUCCUAUCAUGAUAUGCAGUGUGUGUUGGAUGCAACCGGUGUAAC